AGAUCCCAAUGUGAUAUUUUUUAAUUAAUUAUAAUGUGUGCACAUAUGUGUAUGGCUUUCCAACCAGCUUUCCUGAGAAGUGAUGGAGACAAUAACUCUGUGUUCAGGAAAGACCAUUGUACUUCAAAUUGCCCUAAGGUGUUGGUGAAUUUAGUCCUUUCUUUUUUGAGUCUUUUGCUGAAGUUUAUAAAUUUUGCAGGAGAUUCAAGUAUUCCAGAAGUUUUCCAGAAAGUGCAGAUGACCAUGAAGACAGAAGAGUUUCUGUCCACCUGCUUAUCAACACACACGCAGAUGAUCCAGUAGCUUGGAGAAGGCUGACAGCCAUACAGAGUGAAUUUCCUAACUUCACAGACAUCUUAAAAACAUCUGACAAUGCCAAGAAAAAGAAUAAUUUAAAAAAAUGACAGAAGGAUGCAUUAAACAAUCUUGAUUGAUGAAUAGA